CCUACGGGAGGCAGCAGUGAGGAAUAUUGGUCAAUGGACGAGAGUCUGAACCAGCCAAGUAGCGUGAAGGAUGACUGCCCUAUGGGUUGUAAACUUCUUUUAUAUGGGAAUAAAAUGUUCCACGUGUGGGAUUUUGUAUGUACCAUAUGAAUAAGGAUCGGCUAACUCCGUGCCAGCAGCCGCGGUAAUACGGAGGAUCCGAGCGUUAUCCGGAUUUAUUGGGUUUAAAGGGAGCGUAGGUGGAUUGUUAAGUCAGUUGUGAAAGUUUGCGGCUCAACCGUAAAAUUGCAGUUGAUACUGGCAGUCUUGAGUACAGUAGAGGUGGGCGGAAUUCGUGGUGUAGCGGUGAAAUGCUUAGAUAUCACGAAGAACUCCGAUUGCGAAGGCAGUUCACUGGACUGCAACUGACACUGAGGCUCGAAAGUGUGUGUAUCAAACAGGAUUAGAUACCCUUGUAGUC
rnacentral:rRNA from 1 species